rnacentral:rRNA from 1 species
AGCGAACGCUGGCGGCAGGCCUAACACAUGCAAGUCGAACGAACCUUUCGGGGUUAGUGGCGGACGGGUGAGUAACACGUGGGAACGUGCCUUUAGGUUCGGAAUAACUCAGGGAAACUUGUGCUAAUACCGAAUGUGCCCUUCGGGGGAAAGAUUUAUCGCCUUUAGAGCGGCCCGCGUCUGAUUAGCUAGUUGGUUGAGGUAAUGGCUCACCAAGGCGACGAUCAGUAGCUGGUCUGAGAGGAUGAUCAGCCACAUUGGGACUGAGACACGGCCCAAACUCCUACGGGAGGCAGCAGUGGGGAAUCUUGCGCAUGGGGCGAAAGCCUGACGCAGCCAUGCCGCGUGAAUGAUGAAGGUCUUAGGAUUGUAAAAUUCUUUCACCGGGGACGAUAAUGACGGUACCCGGAGAAGAAGCCCCGGCUAACUUCGUG